AAAAUCAUUGGGAUGAUAAAGUGUUUUUUUUAAGUAUAGCAAUUACCAUUAGACCAGAUUAGCAGACAAUCUGAAGCAGUGAAGCCAAGUUGGCUACUGAAAGAGAGAGCAGAUCUUUGCUCAUCUACCUUUUUGAUCUUUCAAGUCACUGUAUGUCCACAGUAGCCUUAAUUUGUCUGGUCCAGUGGCUUGUUUGAGUUGUAAUCAUCUAUUUGGUAGGUGGGACUUGCAGCAGCAGCAACAG